rnacentral:lncRNA from 1 species
AGAUUCAGCAGCUUGGUAAAUAAUCUGGAAGUCAAAAUGGGAGAUCACAGCAGAGCUCAGGAGCUGCUUUCAAAUGAGUGACAGGAAAAGAAGGAGAGGAAAGGAGAGACAUGGAGUGUCUGCGGGUGAGAAGGGGGAGUAACAUUGAAGAGAAAAAAGCAGACAUAUGACCAGCGAAGCUUGGAAAUCUUGCCACGGUGGAUUGUUUUAAGGUUUAAAAGUAGUUAACCACACAAUGAGGCCAUGAAGAUAGAUGUUCAAACCCCGUUACAGUAUGUUCCAUGGAAGACUUGGGAAACUGCAGUGCCUGAAGACGGCAAGCAUGCUGCCAUUGGCUCAAGUCAAUACAAUAAGAGGACACCAGAGAUUUAACCCAGAACUGCAAAUCAGGCUCCUGGCCAUUGCAAAUGCAAGGACAAUAUUGUCUGCAGAGCUAGCAAGGGCAUCUCAUGCUCCUGAGGGAUUUGUCUACAGAACGACCUGUGUAUGUAGACAUUCUGAGAUAUUUUGAGCAUCGGAGAUGGCAUUGAUGAAAUGCAAGCAACUAUUUCAAGAUAUGUUUAAAUGAAUGAGAAGUCACCCGUGGUAGUUGUACUAUAAAUAGAAGAUUUGUAUCCUCUGAAAUAUGAGUUUAUCACAAAAGAAGCAAGUAAACUUCAUGGGAAUUCAUCUUGCAGUCUGUUCUUCCUAGAUACCCCAAACUGCCUUGGUCUGUGCCAGCUGAGAGGAUGAACUCCCUCUGGCUGUGCAAUGUAUCGAUUACAGUUCUAGACCAAGGCAUUGCAAAGUCUAAGGUCCUUUGUCAGUAGGUUUGGUGUCUGGAAAGGACUUUCUUAUUAGUCAGGGUAGCACAACCAAAGGAAUUUCAUAAAGCAUUCCAACAAAGGCACUAACCCAGUCAGAGAACCCUGUCUCAUGUUUUUAUCUCUCGAUCCUAUUGCAUGGAAGACUAAUUUCCAGAAGUUUGUUCUUGCCUCCUCCCUCUCUUCCUCUUCCUAUACCUUCUCCCUCUCCUCCUUCCUUCCUCUUUUCCUCUACUCUUCCCUCCUCCCUUUCUGUCUUUCUAUUGAUGAAAAAAAAAAACACCAUGAACAAAA